rnacentral:rRNA from 1 species
GAAUUUUGGACAAUGGGGGCAACCCUGAUCCAGCCAUCCCGCGUGUGCGAUGAAGGCCUUCGGGUUGUAAAGCACUCUUGGCAGGGAAGAAAAGGCUCUGGCUAAUACCUGGAGCUGCUGACGGUACCUGCAGAAUAAGCACCGGCUAACUACGUGCCAGCCGCCGCGGUAAUACGUAGGGUGCAAGCGUUAAUCGGAAUUACUGGGCGUAAAGCGAGCGUAGGUGGCUUGAUAAGUCAGAUGUGAAAUCCCCGGGCUUAACCUGGGAACUGCAUCUGAUACUGUUAGGCUAGAAUAGGUGAGAGGAAGGUAGAAUUCCAGGUGUAGCGGUGAAAUGCGUAGAGAUCUGGAGGAAUACCGAUGGCGAAGGCAGCCCCCUGGGAUAAUACUGACGCUCAUGCACGAAAGCGUGGGGAGCAAAC